rnacentral:rRNA from 1 species
AACGAACGCUGGCGGCAGGCCUAAUACAUGCAAGUCGAACGGGCGUAGCAAUACGUCAGUGGCGGACGGGUGAGUAACACGUGGGAACAUGCCUUUCGGUUCGGAAUAACGCAGGGAAACUUGCGCUAAUACCGGAUGACCCGGCGACGGAAAAGAUUUAUCGCCGAAAGAUUGGCCCGCGUAGGAUUAGCUAGUUGGUGAGGUAACGGCCCACCAAGGCGACGAUCCUUAGCUGGUUUGAGAGAACGAUCAGCCACACUGGGACUGAGACACGGCCCAGACUCCUACGGGAGGCAGCAGUAGGGAAUCUUGGACAAUGGGGGAAACCCUGAUCCAGCCAUGCCGCGUGAGUGAUGAAGGCCUUC